rnacentral:misc_RNA from 1 species
GUGAAUCAUCAAAUUUUUGAACGCAAAUUGCGCUUCCUGGUAUCCCGGGAAGUAUGCCUGUUUGAGGGUCAGUAUUAACAAAAAAUCGGUUUGGUUGCAAAUUGUGACGUUUCCGGAGUUUGGGCUUAUCUUAACUUUUUUGGUUAAGGGGCUUAAAAUUGACCUUUUUUGCGCAUUUUUAGCCGACAUAAAUUUUUUUUUUUUUCUUUUAUUCUUAUUCCAAAAUUCUAAUUAGAUGGAAUC